rnacentral:misc_RNA from 1 species
GAUGAAGAACGCAGCGAAAUGUGAUAAGUAAUGUGAAUUGCAGAAUUCAGUGAAUCAUCGAAUCUUUGAACGCACCUUGCGCUCUCUGGUAUUCCGGAGAGCAUGUCUGUUUGAGUGUCAUGAACUCUUCAACCUACCGGUUUCUAGUAAAUCGGAUCAGUGUUUGGAUUCUGAACGCCUGCUGGCCUUUAUUGGCGAAGCUCGUUCGUAAAUGAUUAGCAUCUCAUAUUCGAAAAUCGGAUUGACUCAGUGUAAUAGACUAUUCGCUGAGGACGCUCUUUCGGGAGUGGCCGAGUUUUGUAAAGUAGAAGCUUCUAAUUCUAUUAGUCAACUUUAGAUUAGACCUCAGAUCAGGCAGGAUUACCCGCUGAACUUAAGCAUAUCAAUAAGCGGAGGA